AGUGCAAUCGCCCAGUUAAAGCUAAAAAUAGACAUUGAUUUGAACAAUACUGAAGUGGAAGCGACAUCUCUCCUUAUGUUUGGUCUCAGGAAAGCUUUCUGUUUCAUCAAGGAUCUGUUGCCUGUUUGCAUUCAUCAUGUAAUUUACUGCCCACUGGUGAUGGCAGCGGGGUAUUGUCCCUGAAAGCUAGCUUGACUUCCAGCCGCUGUGCUUAUCGUUGUUGUCAUUUUCGUGCUGGAAGAGGAAAGCGGCUUAAUUCGCGCAUGCGCGUUGAGGAUGCGCGUAUCUUGCACAUGCGCAGACUUAUGUGGAAACCAGACCUGAUUAUUAAGCGCGAAGAGGCAGCAGCAAGCGAAUUACAUUAGUUUAUCAGCUCUAUGCAAGGUUUGCUGUAAAUUUGAGACAGAAUAUUGUUACAGGAGUAGUGAAGCUCCUUUCAGGAAUAGCUCAGUACGUAGGUUGUCCGAGAGAGAGAGAGGGAGGGGUGAGGCUGGCGACCAGAGUAGAGAGUUAGCUAGCUAGUUAUAAGUUAGCAGUGUGGCUGUGAGCGUAGCAGUGAAAUAUAUGUGCACUAUAGAUUUCACUCUAGAAAGAAAUGCUAUGACUACUUGAGAGCGAAGUUCCCCUUUGCUUCCCAACUACAGUCCAGACAAUUAGCCGGAAGGAUUAACAACACUGAGGCUGGAAAAUACAGGAUUCAACAUUGUUACUGGAGUGCGUCAUUGUCAUGUAAUGACAGGAAGGGGAAAGGUGAAGAUGUCCUGACAGAGAGCAUCAAGAUGCAGGAGCAGGACGUCCAGCACAGGAAAGACAGGCAGAACAAAACCAUGAGACCGGCCUGGCCCUGAAAUGAAGAUCCGAGAAGACUGAAGAUUUGCUACUGCUACUGUCAUGAAAAGAGGGAAGAAGCGUCUGAAGAAGAGAGCAAGGUCGAUAGCAAAGCACUUUACCAGCACAGCAGCGAACGCACAGACGAACAACACACACACUGGUGCAACGAUCAGUGGAGUUACUGAUUCUGGAAAACAAACACAAAAUUGAAUUUCCUGUAUGCCAAAACCACAUCUACUUUAAAGAAGAGGAAGGCUGCAGCCAAGGCCAGAGUCGCAAAGGAGGCAACGAGGCAGAGAGCAACACUGGUGUAGAAGGCACUGUGGUCAGCUGGAGACAGGAGGAGGCAGACAGAUUAAAGUCACUGGUCACAACAUAUAACAGUUUUACUGGGAAUUCUUUCAGGAAUGAUUCAACCUGUGGAAAUAAUUCCAGGCAACUAACUGCUUACCACAUUUCCGACACAAACGCGAUAACGUUAAAAAACAACAUUUAACCCUUAAAAACAUCCUUAGAGACUCUGGUCCAUAUUACACAAUGUCUUAUUCAUUCAUUUUCAUCAAUUGAUCAUUAAAAUUAAUAUCUUUAAUGGAAUGCAAGAAUGUCCUUUUUUUCUUAUUUUUUCAUAGUAUGCAGGUAGCAGGUAAUAGCAGGUCAGAUUGUUUUCCUGUUUCCUCUUAUUUUGUCACUGAGCCCAUAAAUUAAAGUGUAACAAAGUACAAUAUGUAUCAAACAUAAAAUAUAACAUGCUAAAAGUUAUCAAUAAUUUCAGAAAAUAAUAUUUUUUCCAUCAAUAAGGGAGUAGGAAAAAACUAAUAAUGUCAAAGGGGGGGUUUCAGUAUUGUUAACAAUAUGUUCUGAAAGGGUUUUUUGUGGCUAAACGUGAGGAAUGCUGAUGCUGAAACCGAUGCCUUUAAGGGUUAAACAACAAAAUAAAACAAUAUCAAAUAUAAUAGAAAUAAAUGGUUACAGAGCUAUUUUAGUAACAGGGCUUGGAACAGUAAGAUACACAAUUUGGCAAGUAUGCAGACACUCUAACAAACACCCAAACAUCAGGUUUCACAAACAUCACAUCACAAGUGAUUGCUACAUCUCGUUCCACAAUCAUCGGCAUUAAUCUGCUGUCUUAACAGCCUUCACUUUCCGGGUUGUUGAACCCGCCUGCCAGAGGUCAGGGCUCUAGAAAAACCAUUCCUUUAUGGAUCUGGCUUUAUGUAAGGGGGCGGUGGCUCUGUCAUGUUGAAACAGGAGAGAGUCUUCCCUAAUGUGUUGCCAGAAAGGCUGUAGCAUUACAGUAAGAUUCCCUUUAACUGGAAUUAAGCAUUAAGCAUUUGGUGAUUUUGAUUUAUGGAUAUUUACAAAAUCCUUUGAGACAUUUUCUUGCCUGGCUUUUAAAAGGAUUUGAUUCAUGAUAACAUUUGUUUCACUGAUUUUAGGAGUUAGUAUUUAUAAUUUAACAUAUGUGUUUAUGACAUUAGUUCAAAACAGUUUGUAAAUGUGUUAGAUUUUGGCCAUUUCUGUUCUUCCCUGGGUUGAUAUGGAAG